rnacentral:misc_RNA from 1 species
UCCGGUUUGGCACCGGCAGUCUCCCUAGAGUUCCCGGCUUGACCCGCUGGCAACUAAGGACAGGGGUUGCGCUCGUUGCGCCACUUAAGGCAACACCUCACGGCACGAGCUGACGACAGCCAUGCACCACCUGUGAUCGAGUCCCGAAGGAGGGCCGUAUUUCUACGGCUUUCCCGACCAUGUCAAGCCCAGGUAAGGUUCUUCGCGUUGCGUCGAAUUAAGCCACAUGCUCCGCUGCUUGUGCGGGCCCCGUCAAUUCCUUUGAGUUUUAGCCUUGCGGCCGUACUCCCCAGGCGGGGCGCUUAAUGCGUUAGCUGCGGCACAGACCUCGUGGAAUGGGGCCCACACCUAGCGCCCACCGUUUACGGCGUGGACUAC